rnacentral:rRNA from 1 species
UUCCCCUUCGGGGGACAGGGUGACAGGUGGUGCAUGGUUGUCGUCAGCUCGUGUCGUGAGAUGUUGGGUUAAGUCCCGCAACGAGCGCAACCCUCGACCUUAGUUGCCAGCAUUCAGUUGGGCACUCUAAGGUGACUGCCGGCUAAAAGUCGGAGGAAGGUGGGGAUGACGUCAAAUCAUCAUGCCCCUUAUGACCCGGGCUACACACGUGCUACAAUGGGCGGUACAAAGGGUCGCGAACCCGCGAGGGGGAGCCAAUCCCAAAAAGCCGCUCUCAGUUCGGAUUGCAGGCUGCAACUCGCCUGCAUGAAGCCGGAAUCGCUAGUAAUCGCGGAUCAGCAUGCCGCGGUGAAUACGUUCCCGGGCCUU